CGUGUAGUCAUGCUGUAGGCCACAGAAGAGUCCUCCUGGGCUCUUCAUCUCGAUUUUGGUGAUGGGUGCACAUGGAUCUUUGUCAAAACUGGUUGACCUGUAUACUCAAAACACACGCGUUUAUUGUAGGCAGAUCUAUUUUAUUUUCUAUUUCUUCAAAUUUUGUUUAAGGCCUCACUUGCGGCACGUGGAGGUUCCCAGGCCAGGAAUCGAAUCUGAGCUGCAGCUGCAGCAACGCCAGAUCCUUUAACCCACUGCGCCAGGUCAGGAAUCAACUCCAAGGCUCUGCAGCCACCUGAGCCACUGUAUUUGGAUCCUUAACCUGCUGCGCCCCAGCAGGCGCUCUAGCCCAGAUCUCAGCCGUGGCCCGGGAACUCCACAUGCUUCAGGGCGGCCAAGAAAGAAAAAACAACCCCCCAACAACCCCUAUUCCUGAAUCAUUAAAGCCACUCUCAAUGACACAAGUAUCAGGAUGUGAAAACCCCUCCUGCGAUUGUCAUGUUGUCCCAGGACCCUCUACUCUUCAGUCAGAGUCCUCUUUCCUUUCAGGGUAAAUGCAGACACAUCCCAGGAUGCAGAAGUCUGUUCAGUUUCGGAAUAUUUAUAAAAAUCAGUCAUAGAGACGCGGUCUUGGAAGCUGGGGUUUUCUGUGGCAAGAGCUGGGUUUUUUAGGAACCCUCUCCCCAAAGACUCAGGAUCUGGAAAACUUGGAGGAUUGAGUUUCUUCCAUAAACCGCAGCGCACAGUGAUGUAAGAGAACUUUUCCAAACCAAAAGUAGCAGCGGGCAGGGGACAGCGGGACAGAGGCUGGAGAGCAUGAGACGGGUGAGCGAGCACUAUCAGCUCCCGAAAAGAAUCACACACAAGCCUGUCUGCUGAAUCAAGCUCCCGAGGAGAACCGAGACUCCUGAGAGAAUGUUCCGGAGCAACAGAGCAAAAACAGCCUCUUCCUUACAUUUCGGACGGAGUCCAAGUGACACGGGCUGGGACCUGGGACCUGGGACCCUUUGCGGCCAUGGCUGCAGCGUCUACACCUGGACCAGCGCUUCCUCAAGCAACAAAACACAAAGACGACAAAUAACUGCGUGUGUGCGGAGUUGGGGCAAAUUGUGGACAACGAGAUACGCAAAGAUUGAAACAACCACCUGCCAGGACCUGAAGAGCUGAGAGCAGAAGCAGGGUGUUGGGAGAAAAUGCAGCACACGAGCCUCUGGCACACAGCACCACCAAAGGGUGGGCAGCCCACCAACCCCGGGCCCGUCUCUACCCUCGCCCCACAUGAGGAACUGGCUCAGCCUCCUCCCCACCCCACCCCACCCAGCAAGCCAGGGAGCCAGGGAAUUUGUUGCUUGUUUUCACUUCUGUCUGCUGCAGCAGGGGCCCCAAAAAGCUUUGCCUGAAUCUUCCUGUCUGACCUCUCAGCAAUUAUUAUUGAUUAAGGUGGCCAAAAACCCUGCACAGUAACACAGGAAGCCAGGAGCCUUCUAGUGGGUUCUUUAAGCUUGGGAAGCAGAGUCUCAUGAAACAGGAAGGAUGAAGUGGUGGCUUCUUUGGGAAAGUGAGCAUAGCCUAAGGGACUUUUGUCCCUCCUCUGAGUCUCCCAUGGCCUGUGACCUCCAAGGACAUGAGCCUCCUGCCCCUCCAGGAGUGAGGUGUGGCGGGGGCAGAGGGCGGGUUGCGAGACCUAGAGAGCCUCACCAUUGGGAUGCAGGGUGGAGUCGGUGCCAAAGAGGUGUAGACACCCCUAAAUAGUGUUUUCUUUCAUGACUUUAAGCAAGACCAUGGGUUUUACAAAUGGUGAUAAUGUAACCUGGACGCCACGCCAUCCGAUUGUACUCGAAAUAUUUCAUGUACUUCUCACGCCAUCAUGCAAGAGGGGUGUGGCCCAGCUGGACACCUGUCAGGGGAAGGAAGGACCAAAGCUGGUGACAGUUAUGUGGGGCUUGAGACUGUGCAGAAUGAGAUGUGGACUGGAAGGAGACUAGACUUAGAUAUUCUCAAACCAUAAAGUAAAACCGAGAUCCAGACAGGAGUGAGCCAGUGUCUGGGGGGUUGUGUUCCAGAGUGAUGUCAUCGAAGGACUUCUAGCCUUGACCAGGGGUCCUGCGGUGUUUUCAUCAUUGCUGUCCUGUGAUUGGACGAAGCUUCCAUACUGUGUAAAUUUCAACAGGACCAUGUCCAUUUUUUUCUCUUUUUACCUUUUCUCCUGGCCUCUUAACAAAGAUUGAAGGACCUACUAAUGCUCGAGGCACCCUUGAAAAAACCACUGUUGGAUUAGCUCUUGGU
rnacentral:lncRNA from 1 species